GUUUCGGAUGGAAGUUUAAAAACUUAGUGGCGGACGGGUGAGUAACGCGUGGGUAACCUGCCUCAUACAGGGGGAUAACAGUUAGAAAUGACUGCUAACACCGCAUAAUAUAGCGAAACCGCAUGAUUUUUGCUAUCAAAUAUUUAUAGGUAUGAGACGGGCCCGCGUCUGAUUAGCUAGUUGGUGGGGUAAAAGCCUACCAAGGCGACGAUCAGUAGCCGGCUUGAGAGAGUGACCGGCCACAUUGGGACUGAGACACGGCCCAAACUCCUACGGGAGGCAGCAGUGGGGAAUAUUGGACAAUGGGGGAAACCCUGAUCCAGCGAACCGCCGCGUGAGUGAAGAAGUAUUUCGGUAUGUAAAGCUCUAUCAGCAGGGAAGAUAAUGACAGUACCUGACUAAGAAGCCCCGGCUAACUACGUGCCAGCCGCAGC
rnacentral:rRNA from 1 species